GACGAACGCUGGCGGCGUGCUUAACACAUGCAAGUCGAACGGAAAGGCCCUGCUUUUGUGGGGUGCUCGAGUGGCGAACGGGUGAGUAACACGUGAGUAACCUGCCCUUGACUUUAGGAUAACUUCAGGAAACUGGGGCUAAUACCGGAUAGGAGCUCCUGCUGCAUGGUGGGGGUUGGAAAGUUUCGGCGGUUGGGGAUGGACUCGCGGCUUAUCAGCUUGUUGGUGGGGUAGUGGCUUACCAAGGCUUUGACGGGUAGCCGGCCUGAGAGGGUGACCGGCCACAUUGGGACUGAGAUACGGCCCAGACUCCUACGGGAGGCAGCAGUGGGGAAUAUUGCACAAUGGGCGGAAGCCUGAUGCAGCAACGCCGCGUGCGGGAUGACGGCCUUCGGGUUGUAAACCGCUUUCGCCUGUGACGAAGCGUGAGUGACGGUAAUGGGUAAAGAAGCACCAGCUAACUACGUG
rnacentral:rRNA from 1 species